CUCUGAAUCUAGGGUUUCAUUCUGGAUUGUUCGAAACCCUAGCUCUAUAAAUGCCCGAAUGCAUCUCUCGACUUUUCAUCAGUCCUAAUUCGUAGCCGCUGUUCAGGAGAAGAUAAGAAAUCAUGAGGGCCAAGUGGAAGAAGAAGAGGAUGAGGAGGCUCAAGAGGAAGCGCCGAAAGAUGAGGCAGAGAUCUAAGUAGUCUUCUCAUAGCUUUGGCUGCUGCUGUUGCUGGAGCUUUUACUCUUGUGAUUGUUUUCUUAGGAGCUGGUUCAUUCAGUCAAAUCUUCUGUAAUUUUUGCCAUUGAACAGUCCUUUUUAUGGGAGGAAAAUGUUAAUUAGUUGACAAAAUUUAUCAUAUUUUGCUAAAUCUCUCUCCUUUCA